rnacentral:lncRNA from 1 species
CAGGCUUGUCGAGCCCGUGAUAUUUCAGCGGGGAGUAGACCGUGAUCCCCGCGCAUAGUAGCGGAGCAGCAGCGUCCAAUGGGAGAUUGUCGGGCAUACGGAUGAUGAAACCUUCGUCGCAAACCAUGUUGUCGGAGUAACCACCGUAGGUUAUUGUGUCGUCGUAAUACUUGAAUCCGUACGUUUGGAUCGAUUUUGGACAGUAGUUCUCGAGACCUUCGGUGCAGCUAUCACAUGAUCCGCACGAGCCAACCAUGCAACCUACUCCGACUUUGUCUCCAGUUUUGAAUUUAGUCACUUUGCUUCCCACUUCAGUCACCACACCAACAAUCUCAUGCCUGAACAAAUAAGAAAAACACAAGUUUCGGAUUUAAAAAUGCUCAUCACCUAAUUUAAUAGUUAUUGAUGUUCUAAAAAUCGGUUCAUUUCAUUUCAGUUACCAAAAAAAAAAUCGGUUUAAAUUAGACGCCCACGUAAUAACCGAAACGGUUUUAUUAAAACCUAACUUAUACUAAUCAAAUCGGUUUAAACUGUUCUAAAACAAUAUUAAUCUAAAUUUAUAUAUUCUUUUUAAAUCAACCAAUAAUGUUAGUUCAAAUCUAUGUCUAGUUUCUUUCUUUUUGCAAAUCUAAUUUUUAUAGGUCACUAAAAUAAUUUUAUAAUUAAUUUUAAAAUGAAAAUAUCUGAUAAAAAUGUAAAAUAUAUAAAAAUAAAUCAAUAAUUUGAUAACAUAUAAACCUUUUCUAAGCUCUCAAUAACCCGCAUAGUCGAUAGUCCUCCACUAAACGCCUAAUUAUUGCCCCACAAAUCUUUUGAUCAUUUGUACUCUUAGAAAUAAUGUUCAUACGUCGUUUUAUGUUUAAAUAACAUACAUAUUUUACUCUAACACACACAUAUUAUAAGAUUGGUAAAACAUAAAUUUAUGUAUUACGUACCCGGGGACGAGAGGGUAAGUAGAUAUUCCCCACUCAUUCUUGAUCAUAUGCAAAUCAGAGUGACAGAUUCCACAGAACAAAACUUUGAACCUAACAUCCUUCUCUCCUGUCUCCCUACACAAUUCGACCAAAACUUAUUUUUCAUUAAUACAAAAAGUAUAUAGGGUCAUUGAUAGAUAUUAAUUCACUAGGUGACUGACACCUGCGCCUAUGCACGGGCAUAAACUUUUGUAAUAAACCAAAAUGUAAUAAUUUUGGGUAAUGUUUAUUAGUUGUAUUUGUUUGUGUAUUUUCAUGUUAUUUUAAUUAAAGUUUUAUUUAUAAAUUAUUUAGUUGCAGUGUUAUGAUUUUUUUUGCAAUAUAUUCAAUUUGGCCAUAAUCUUUAUUUCUAAAAUCUAGUGUAAAAAUUGAUCUUAAAUGUGUUAAUUAUUUUGGAUUAAAACUUUACCAAUUGUUUCUCGAACUUCUUAGUUGUUACAGUUACUCUUCUUCAAUUAUGUUUUUGUUUAUUGUAGGAUUAAUCAAAGUUGAAAGAUAUGCGUUUUUUAAAUCAUCAUCAUCAUCAAAUCAAAACCAUCUUAAUAGAAAAUCUUUUAUCAAAAAAAAAAAAAUCAAAACCAUCUUAUUAAAAACAGUUUCUUUAAGAUAUUUUUUUUCCAAACACGUCAUAAUGUUUAUUUUAAUUUUAGAUGCAUAUAAAGAAGAACGGAAUUUUCGGAUGGAAGUCAUAGAAAUUGUUUUCCUACCAAGGAAAGACAAAUUUUUAUGAAUAAAAAAGAUUUUAUGUGAAUAAUGAAUGAUUGACUGAUAUUUAAUUAUUUAUAUUGAUGUCGAUGUUUAAUAGUUUAGAUAUAUGAGAAUCAGUUUCUUAUUUAUGAUAUUUGAAGCAUUUAAAUAGUAUGAGGAUUAAGGCUUUAUGAUGUAAACCAAAUUGCAUAAAAUUGUGCUGAUAUUUUUGUAGAAAUAAAAAAAUUGUAUAAUUAUGAAAUGGUAUAUUCCAUAUUUUCCUUUUUAUUAAGAAAUAAUAUAUUUGAAAUAUAUUAAAAUUUUGCAUUUUAAUAAUAAAAUAUUGCCUUUUUCGUAAAAUAUGGUUUUAUUAAUAAAAACUAAAAUAAAAAUGAAAAUAUUAAUAACGAUAGCUAUAAUAAUAAACUCAAUUAGUAAUAAAUCAUCAUAAUAUGGUUUUAUUAAUAAAAAAAUGAAAAUAAAACAGAAAUAUUUAUAGAUAUUGUCUUUUAUAUGAAAUUCUUUUUUUAUAACAAUUUGGUUAUAAUAAGAAUGUAUUUAUAGAAAAAAGCAUUAAUAAUGGCAAUUAUAUAAUAAACUUAAUUCAUUAAGGCUAUCAAUGUAAUAAACCACCGUGAGAGUUAACGUAAACACGCCACAUAAAAAAGUGAUUUCUCAAAUAAUAUUAUAGAUAUUUUUGUAUAAAAAACCUUCUAGAGAAAUGGAAAGUCGAGAGAACUCCAGAAUUGUCUUUUGCGGCCAAUCCGAAUGCCUCCUUUCCCAUAAUGGAUCAAAGAAGAUCAAAAGUUAGAGAAAUGGAUUGGAGAAGUAAGCAAGUGUGUGGUUUGGCUUUUAUGUGAAUGCACUUCUAAAUAAUUUGAGAAGUUUAAGUUUUUGAGGAGAGACAAGAUCUUUAAUAUAGGAAGGGAUUGUGGCACCGACGGGAUCGGGAGCCAUUAGGACCAUUCACACUAUAAGAUUACCUCAAUGACUCGUUCUUUUCUUCCUUGUAUAUUUUCUUGCCAUUUUUAGAGGUGUUAAAUCUUUGACUCUACAAGAUAAGUAUGAAUACAUUAGGUAUUAGUUUGUUUGCUAAGCAUGCGUGAAUAUGAUACAUUCAUAAAUUGGUAUGAAUGCAACAGAACUGCUGUUAGAAUAUGAACCAGAUCUGCUGAAACAUUGAGAAGAAGAGACGUCACAAAUGUUCAAGCUAUUAAAGUUUUGGUAAUAGCCAAAAUGAAAAUGUAUUGGUUGAAACUUAAACCUUGCUCUGACCAAAUAUGUUGUAUCUUCAACAAAAAAACAAAACAAAUUAUAUAUUAAAUAAAAGCAAAGUAGUUUCAUAACGAAUAUGUAAAACGUGCUUUUAUAUUCCUUGUAACCAAAAAUUUGUCGUUCUUCAGUUCUAUCUAAUUUUCAUUUUCCGAGCAUAAUUAAAAAGCCAUAUUAAGUGUGUGGAACUCGUUGAACCACAUACUGUAUGGACCUGGCACACCGACAAGUCUGUACGUGCGCGGGCCACUGCGAGCGUUAGGAAAGCUAUUUUUUUUUUUUGUCGACGCGUUAGGAAAGCUAUUUUCCCAUAUUAUUCGUAUUGAUUAAAUCGAAUAAACGUAAAAAUGACGACAUUCACAACUACUCUGUUCAAUUUGAUGUUAUCUUUUUCCAAUGGAUUUCUAGAGAUAAGAACACUGUUGCUGACUUGUUGGCAAAACAGGGACUUGUAGAGGGUGAAGUCUUAAUGGCUAGCACCUAACUCUUUCUAUGGCAUUAAUAUAAGUUGUGUUUCAAAAAAAAAAAAACACUGCUUCAAAGUUCAAAGUUAUAUGAUUUUGUCAGUGUAGUCGUGUAUUGUUUGUCUGUUCUUGUGGUCUAUACAUACUUGCUUUGCUCCCAAAUAGUGUCGUCUACGCAACAUACUCAUAACUAAACGCGUUUACACUGUUAAAAUACAUGCACCUGGAUAUUAGACCAAACGUAUAGUUUGAAUUUAGUCCCGAAAUCAUACCUUAUGAAAAGUGUUUAUACUAUCAAGAGACAAGAGCAAGUCUUCUAUCAAGAAACUAUGCAUAAAAAUCUUGGUACUUUAUAAUCAAUCAUAUGUUAUUAUUGGUCGGAUUGCUCAGACAACACAGCUUCUAUCAUUUACACCCAGCAUAUUUCAACCUUAAGAACCUAUACAAGACCAAUUAAUAUGAACUGAAAAACAAACAUUCACUUAUACAUGUAAUAUUUUUAUUUUCCAAUAUUUUUGAGAUUUUACAGUAUCACCAGUCAAAACCUACGAUUAGAAUUAAACUUCCCAAGAUCUUAUUUAUAUAGCAAACAUUACAUUCAAGUUGAUUCAAUUUAUAGGGCACAAUAUUAGUGCUACAGACAAACAACACGUAACUUAUUACAACAAACGAAACAAGAAAAAAAAAGGCUUCUAGGGAACUUCAAUUCUUAAGAUUUAUAAUUAAGGACUAGGCUUCAAGGUGUUGGCAACAUCAAUCACAAAACGGUAUCUAACGUCAGCCUUCUGGAGCCGUUCCAUGGCAGUGUUGACAUAAUCCGCAGAGAUAAGCUCAAUAUCUGCCGUGAUGUUGUGUUUUCCGGCCAAAUCCAUCAUCUCUUGAGUCUCUUUUAUCCCUCCUACCAUACUUCCCACCACCAUCUUUUUCCCUAUUAUAUAUUCACAACCACAAAUAUAUUCUCAAUGUUUAUCAACUGUACACUUGAAAUGUUAUUAAAUUUGUUAUGAUAAAUUGAUAAUAGUCAUGGAUAUAUAUGUCGGUAGAUUUUAUUAAUGAUACAAAAUACCAGGACAGGCCCAGAGAUUUAAAAAGCUAUAUGUAAUUUAGUAGGAGUUUUAUUAAUAAUUUUUUUUUUUUAAAUUUGACGUGAUAUAAUGCAAUAAGGCCACACGGCCAAAGUGAUAUAUGAUGCAUAAUAAGUCACACAGAUUUAUCAAGCAAGGGUAUCGACCAAACAAGCAAUUUCUAUAUGUUUUCAUGCGGCCAUAUGGUUAUAAUGCAAACCUAGCAUACUGAUUCUAUAUGUACAGGAGUGGAAUUAUGGAACCUCAAUUUAAAACAAUCAGAUCAUGCAAAGGUGAUAAUAAUCAGAUCAUGCGCAUAACAUAAACAUGUUGGUCAGGAUGAUAUAUGAUGCAAACUGGCCACACGGCCAAGUAGAUAUGAUGCACUCAUUCUUAGCAAUCGGAUUCUAUAUGUGCAAGGAUAAUAUUAAAACAUUCAAUCAAGGUUUAGCAAUUAAUCAAUCAGUUUCAGGUAUGAGAUUUAGGUAGACUAACAAUCAGAUUCAAUUAGAUUUUAUCAAGACUAGCAUUUGGAUCAAUAAUCAAAAAUAAUCAAACGGAUUCAAGCAUUACACAAUUUAGGGUUUCGAUCCAAAAAUAGGGUUUCAAUCAUGAAAAACCAAAACAAUCAGUUUCAAGGCUGAUUCUAUCAAUUUUAUUAAUCAGUUUCAAGGCUGAUAUUAGCAAGAUGGAAUCAAACAAUCUGAUUUUAGGAAUACGCAAAUUAGGGUUUAGGGUUUCAAUUCAAAUUUAGGGUUUUAUCAAUCAAUCAGCUUCUAGCAAAUAAUCUUAAACCUCAGAACAGUUGAUUAUAUCAUGAAACUAUCAACCUAGUAUAAUAUGAAACCUCAAAACAUUCAAUUCGGAUUAUGCAGUACACGGAUUCUAUUUUAGGGUUUAUCAAUUCGAAUUAGGGUUUAUAUUAUAACAGAUUCUAACAUGAAAUAUUAAACCUCAAAUCAUUCAAUCAGGUUAUAAAAACUAUCAAUCCUAACUCACAUGGAUUUAAGCCUCAAAGAAACAUUCAAUCAAUCAAAUAAAACAAUCCAUGCACACGUAAAUUAGGGUUUACAGAUUUUAAGGUUUCACUUUGAACAUUAGUUCAUUCGAUUCUGGGUUCUUAGAGUUUAGGUAUACCUUAAACCUUUGAUGGGUUGAAUGGACCACCAAGAGAAUGAGCUUACGUGGACUGGUACAAAUUGGAACCUUACGAGGACUGGUCCAAACUGUUUCCUUGCAGUCCGCGAGGUGAGAUCGGGUACAAGUUGAGAUCGAAAGUGAUUAGGGUUUAUCGAUAGAGAGAGAGGUGAUCGAUAGAGAUUAGGGUUUUAGCAAUGGAGAGAGAUUUAGGGUUUAUGGUCGAUAUUUUAGCUUAGGGUUUCAGAGAUCAAUCGUGCUGAUAACGUGUUAUAAAAGUAAUGGAAAAGUCUAUCUUUAUUCAUAACAUAGAGGUUCCUUAUAUAGGAGAUUACACCGUCAAAGAUAAAUGGAAAUAUUACAAAUCAUAAUUUCUUGGUUAUGAGCCAUCCACGAUAUGGUUCAUAACAUAUAAUGUUUAUUAAUUUGAUUAAGGUAUACUACAUCGCCCCAACCUCCUCAAUAAACAGCAUAAAACUUAUUACAACAAACCAAACAAGAACAAUAUCAUUAUGGAACUUCAAUUCUUAAGAUUUAUAAUUAAGGAGUAGGCUUCAAUGUGUUGGCAACAUCAAUCACAAAACGGUAUCUAACGUCGGCCUUCUCGAGCCGUUCCAUGGCAGUGUUGACAUAGUCCGCAGAGAUAAGCUCAAUAUCAGCAGUGAUGUUGUGUUUUCCUGCCAUAUCCACCAUCUCUUGAGUCUCCUUUAUCCCUCCUAUCAUACUUCCCAUUACCAUCUUCCUCUCUAGACAUACACAAUAACAAAAAAAAAACAUAAUUCUAAUGUUAUUUUCACUAACUUUUUUCUUGUCAAAUGUUUAUAUGUUUAAACCAAAUUUUAGUCAAUAAAAAAGGUUAUUCCGCACUUUUUCUAUACACAAAAAAAUUACCGCAAGAAAGUAAACGGAUUUGUUACUAAAACCACAUAAAUAUGGCUAAAUACGGACAUAAUAGGCUUACCGAAGAUGAGAGGCAUGACCGGGAGCUCGAGUGGCUUUUCUGGUGCACCAACCAUAACAAGUUUUCCCUUAGGCUUUAGCAAACCGAGCAAAGGAAGAAGGGAAUGAGUCGCAGAUACGGUAUUAAUAAUACCAUCCAAUGUCCUCAUUGCAUCCUUAAUCUGUUUUUGGUCACGGCUCACCACGAACGCGUCCGCACCAAGCCUAUUAAUCGCUUCAUCUCUCUUACUAUCCGAAGUACUAAUAACCGUAACCUUAAGACCCAUAGCCUUAGCAAAUUUCACCGCCACAUGACCCAAACCGCCUAGUCCAACCACACCAAUGUGCAUGCCAGGCUUGUCGAGCCCGUGAUAUUUUAGCGGGGAGUAGACCGUGAUCCCCGCGCAUAGUAGCGGAGCAGCAGCGUCCAAUGGGAGAUUGUCGGGCAUACGGAUGAUGAAACCUUCGUCGCAAACCAUGUUGUCGGAGUAACCACCGUAGGUUAUUGUGUCGUCGUAAUACUUGAAUCCGUACGUUUGGAUCGAUUUUGGACAGUAGUUCUCGAGACCUUCGGUGCAGCUAUCACAUGAUCCGCACGAGCCAACCAAGCAACCUACUCCGACUUUGUCUCCAGUUUUGAAUCUAGUCACUUUGCUUCCCACUUCAG